CUAUGUGGGUUGUUUGAUUUGAUGGAUUGAAUCCUAUAGGAAAAUUUCCUAAGGAUUCAUUUGCACUGUGGUUUAGACUGUCCCAUUUUUUAGACGUAAGAAAAUCUCAGAAACAAGUAAAACAAACGUGAUUAUGAGAAUCCACCUGAAACCCAGCCUGGGUAGCCUAUCCAAAGGAGAAGAGCAAAAUGUUUCCUAGUCAACGCUACACCUGGGUUAAAUAGUAAACUGAAAGAUAAUUUCACCACUUUAGAAAAAAAUCCCAAAAAUAUAAAGUUGUACAUGUUUAAGUAUUCAUAGUUGCACCUGGGUUGAGUAAAAAACUUGUAAAUCUUCUUGAAAAAAAGAACAAUUCAUAUUAUGGAGAAAAAAUUCAUUGUAAAAAACGAGAGCAAACUGUAAGCACUUAUUGAGCAGUAAACUGAAAGAUAAUUUCACCAUUUUAGAAAAUCCCAAAAUAUCAGAGUCGAGUCAAUCAACCAGUAGAAACAAAACGAAAUCCGGAGAAUAAAGCAGUCCAUGUUUAAGUAGUUAUAAUGCAACUGAGUUGAAUAAUGAAGUUAUAAAUCUUCUGAAAAAGAACAAUCCAUAAUAUGGAGAAAAAAACAAAUUUCAUUGUAAAAAAGGAGAGCAAACUGUGAGCACUAAAAUUAUUUUGAGAACUCGUACAUGUACAUGGGCAAAUAAAUUUAUCAGAAUUAUCUCAACACAAGAAAAAUCCAUGCAUGCCUUUUGUAGCUCCGGCUGUAGAACCUCAGAA
rnacentral:lncRNA from 1 species